UGGGGAAUAUUGGACAAUGGGCGCAAGCCUGAUCCAGCCAUGCCGCGUGAGUGAUGAAGGCCCUAGGGUUGUAAAGCUCUUUCACCGGUGAAGAAAUGACGGUAACCGGAGAAGAAGCCCCGGCUAACUUCGUGCCAGCAGCCGCGGUAAUACGAAGGGGGCUAGCGUUGUUCGGAUUUACUGGGCGUAAAGCGCACGUAGGCGGACUUUUAAGUCAGGGGUGAAAUCCCGGGGCUCAACCCCGGAACUGCCUUUGAUACUGGAAGUCUUGAGUAUGGUAGAGGUGAGUGGAAUUCCGAGUGUAGAGGUGAAAUUCGUAGAUAUUCGGAGGAACACCAGUGGCGAAGGCGGCUCACUGGACCAUUACUGACGCUGAGGUGCGAAAGCGUGGGGAGCAAACAGG
rnacentral:rRNA from 1 species